GUAACCUGGCAGGAAGACAUCAAGUGAAAACCAGUCUGAGCCCCACUGGGCUAGCACUUCUCAGCAGCCACCCGCCUGUCAUUUCACAGGCUCAGAAUCAGGGUCUGCAAUGCAGGUGCCAUGGCGGACACUGAAGAAGCAGGGCUCAUCUCCAUAUCCAGAUGCGUUGAAAAUGAACUCCAGCCACCAGAAGCAAACAGCAGAGAGGCAGAAGCAGCCUAAUGCAAGCCUUCCUCCUCCUGGGUUGAAUUCUGCCCAUACUCUGUCUGAUGCCUUCAUCCCUUAGGCCGUGUGGGCAUCCCACUGUUCAGAGUUUUCAUGCUUGAGCCGGGCAAUUUGAUGUUCUUUCCAUAGCAAGAGAGCCCAGAAAUGGUCAUGAAAUCUACAUACCAAAGAGGGAAUCUUAAACGUGUUUCCUCAUGUUAUGUCUCCCAUUAGCAUGUAUAUAGAUGGGUGCACAGAAUAUGUGGCAGCUGAGUGCCCAGCCCUGCAAGAGCAUCUGUGUCAAGAGUGCAUUGCUCCAGGAGCUCUGGUCUGCAAAAGACAGUCCAGAGAAUGAGAAUGUGGGCACCAGGAGGAGGAAAGGGCCAGGGGGACCCAGCACCUGCAGCUCUCUCUGUGCAGGAUGGCGGUAAGCACACUGCCGGGAGAAGACAGUCAUCAGCGCUCUGCGGCAGUCCAUUCUGUAUGCUGCAAUGCCCACCUGCUGGAGACGGUAUGCCCAUGAAUGCAAUCAUGGCCUGAGAGCUAGGACGCCCUGAAAAGGACAUAGUACCAGUACCACCAGAUACCAUCCUCUCAACAGCCCUGAAAAGGACAUAGUACCAGUACCACCAGAUACCAGGCGCAACCUGCAAACCAGUAAUGAUGUACGCAAUGCAACAGAAAAGAAUAAAUCACAGGAGAAAGCUGCACGGGUGAGCACUUCCUGAGAUCUGAAUUCGGUGUCUGGGAUCUCUCUGAAUCUAGAAAUAAGCCACCUGGUUGUGGCUUACACCUGUCAGAUCCCAAGAAAAGCAGCCAGUUCUGAGAGUUUCAGGUCUCGAAACAAGAACAUUCAGGAGCACUCUGUAGGGAAGGAACUGUGUUCCCCUGAAGAUCAUCAGAAGUAUUCGAGGUACGUGCAAACACUUGAAAGUGCGCAUGUGCGAGCUCUUGGGCGUGCACGCAGGCAAGUGCUGCUCCAUAGAGGAAAAGUGCAGUGACAAUGAACUCCCCUGGCUGUGCAAAUGUUUCAUGUGUACAGCUUUUAGGUGUGAUCUCUAUAGCAUGUUCACAUAUGACCUAUGACAGCUGACUCUUGCCAUCCACAAUCAAGCGGAACUGCAAGUUUGAAGAAUCACGUUUAAUAACAAAGUUUACAAAUGUUUUUAAAGCCCUCAGCACUGGAACACGCACACUCACGUGUGCUCAGAGACCGAAGAGAUUGAAUGGCUUGACUCUGCGGAGAGAAAGACUUGGCUGCCGAGCUUCUAAGAGGCAGAGGAGAGGCCCCGCUGUCGGGGAGGUCAUAUUUGCUUACAUGGAUUUAGCCUAUGGUGAGCAGCCCCCGUUCCUCCUGAAUGUAGAAAAGCUCUCCCCAGUCUCCGUGGGACAAUAAUCGGGGCCUCUGUUUUGCUCUGGGAUAAUCACAUAUAUUAUGAUUACACUUCUCUCACCUGCCAAGAGAAAACUUGUCACAGUUGCCUGGGGCUCUCAAUCCCACUCUGUCAUAGCACACCUCAAUGAAGCCCCACCUGCCUCAGUGGAUGAUUCUCGUCCUUCUCUCUCUGCCUGAGUUUCACAGCCUUGGCUGCUCCUGUGCUUUGCCGAGUUCCCUAGAAAGGCACAGAUACUGAGCUGAGCCUAAGAUGUCCCGCAGCACAUCUUGGGCCUAGGGUUGUCCCUGCAGCAGCCAGCAGGUGCUUGGGAGUCCUUUUUUUUUUUUUUUUUCUUGGUUUUUCAAGACAGGGUUUCUCUGUAUAGUCCUGGUUGUCCUGGAACUCACUCUGUAGACCAGGCUGGCCUCGAACUCAGAAAUCUGCCUGCCUCUGCCUCCCGAGUGCUAGGAUUAAAGGCAUGUGCCACCACGCCAGGCUGCUUGGGAGUCUUAAGGUGCUGUGGGAAGCCCCCACUCAGUGCCCAGAAGCAGCUUCCCUGCCCAGGCCCCCUCACAUAGGGCCUGGGUGUGAUUUGUUUCACAACACUCUCUGGCUUGUUGGGAGUCACCAAUGAGUCCAAGCUCUCUCUCCAGUGGCCUUGACUUCCUCAUUUCUGAUUGGACACACUGCUCCGCUCCCUUUAUCCCAGAGUCUCUUCCGUCUCUGCCAAGGACUGCACACUGUGUGGAUGUGUAUGAAGCCCUUAGAUGAUGUACUCCAGCUCCUCUGCCAAGGAGGAGCUCAGAACAGGACGCAAAGGGAACUGAAUCCUCCUCCACUUAGAAUUAGUCAACGAGCCCGCCUUCCUCCUCGUGCCUGCCUGUCUGCCUUCUUUUCCUGUGAGACGUGUCUCACUCUCUAUCCAAGGCUGGCCAUGAACUUGUAGGAAGCCUCUGUUUGCAAAUGGCUGGGAUUACCGGCAUUAGUCACCACUAGAAUGGAUAUUUCUGGACAUUGGGUUAAAGCAAAAUUGUUGAUUCAAGGGUCUCUGAAAAUGAACCAAACACAGUCAUCCAAUCCAGUGUGUCCAGGCCUCGCCACGCACUGUUCCCUCUGUGCAGUGACAUGGACAGCUGCUGACCCCGGAUAUGUUCUUAGAGUGAGUGUCACAGGAAGCCAAGAGGUAAGACAAUGUCAGAUCAGGGAGGAAUUCUUGUUCUUUACCAGUGUCCCACACAAGACUCUGCGUGUUUCUACCCCUCUCUGAGUUGUCCUUCAGGCAAAUGGAGGACCUGUGUCCAUUCACAGGGAACAGGACUUUAAUGGUCGGAACUGCAAUGGACAACCGAGCCCUGUGUCACUAAAUAAGAGCAGGCAGCCUGGGAUGGAAAUGCUAAGUCCUUGGGAUUCCCUGCAUGAGCUCCUCUUUGCCAUAAUGACCCGAAGUGGGCUGAAAAUUUCUUCUCCGAGUCAGGCCAAGGCUGACGGGGAGCUGUAACUGUGGACUUUGCAUCAGCCUGAGUGGAUGAAGCAAUAUUUUUGGAUUUGACUGUGAAGUGAUUCUAAAGGAACUUAUGUGCGGGUUCACGGACUCAGUGGCAAUGUGAAGCCAUCAGAGCUUCACUGGAAGAAGCAGUGUGGGAGCAGACACUCCCGCUGCGUCUCCCCCGAGAUAGACGCUUUCUUUAUCUUUUUUUUUUAAAGGAAAUCAAAGUUUAAUCAUUUUCUACUCAUUAAUUAAUGGCCAUGCUGACCAAUAAGUCACAUGAAUGUCGAUUUCACUUUAUUUGAAUACCACACACAAUACAAAUUUAAACUUGCCAUACCCUUCCACAAACCAUCACUGCAUAUAAUAGAGCUUUUUUUUUUGACAAAGUUAUUGAGCUAUUAUUAUAGAUCAAAAGCACAGUUUUGGUUUGUUUGUUUGUUUAAUUUAGAAGCAUGUUCAAAUGACUAAAGCUGGGAUCCUAAAAUUGAGAGCUUUGGCGCAGCAGGUGAGCUGUGGUUACUGACGUCCGCAAAUCAAAAGCACACAAGUAAAACCCAAUAAAAACCCCAAAACAAAAUACCGUCAAACUUUGACAGUUGAGAAAUAAUUGCUAGAAAAAGGAUUUGUCAUCACAAUGUUAAAACUGAAUAAACAGAUUACUCAUGGUUAA
rnacentral:lncRNA from 1 species